rnacentral:rRNA from 1 species
AAGUCGAGCGGUAACAGGGUUCACGUUCCUUGACACUCUACGACAUGGUCUAGAGGCAGAAUCGAGGGAACAGUGAAACUGCUGACGAGCGGCGGACGGACUGAGUAACGCGUGGGAAGGACCCCAAACUGAGGGAUAACGCACCGAAAGGUGUGCUAAUACCGCAUGUGAUCUUCGGAUUAAAGGAUUUAUCCGGUUUGGGACUGGCCUGCGUACGAUUAGAUAGUUGGUAGGGUAAUGGCCUACCAAGUCGACGAUCGUUAGAUGGUUUGAGAAGAUGAUCAUCCAGACUGGGACUGAGACACGGCCCAGACUCCUACGGGAGGCAGCAGUAGGGAAUCUUUCACAAUGGGCGAAAGCCUGAUUGGAGCAACGCCGCGUGCAGGAUGACGGCCUUCGGGUUGUAAACUGCUUUUAUAAGCGAGAAAUAUGAUGGUAACUUAUGAAUAAGGACCGGCUAACUACGUGCCAGCCGCCGC